UCGCGUCUUACGACGGCAGUCCUUCUAGAGUCCCCGGCAUUACCCGCUGGCAACAUUGGACAGGGGUUGCGCUCGUUGCGCCACUUAAGGCAACAUCUCACGACACGAGCUGACGACAGCCAUGCAGCAUCUGCGGCGCACCCUCGAAGGUCACACGUUUCCGUGCGCUUGCAGCACCAUGUCAAGUCCAGGUAAGGUUCUUCGCGUUGCAUCGAAUUAAAGAACAUGCUCCGCUGCUUGUGCGGGCCCCCGUCAAUUCUUUUGAGUUUUAGCCUUGCGGCCGUACUCCCCAGGCGGGACACUUAACGCGUUAACUGCGGCACAGAGGGAUUCGACUCCCCCCACACCUAGUGUCCAUCGUUUACGGCUAGGACUAC
rnacentral:misc_RNA from 1 species